rnacentral:rRNA from 1 species
GACGAACGCUGGCGGCGUGCCUCAUACAUGCAAGUCGAACGCAGUGGGGACGGGUGAGUAACACGUGGGUAACCUCCCAUCAGAGGGGAUAACACUUGGAAACAGGUGCUAAACCGAUACUGAUGGAUGGACCCGCGGUGCAUUAGCUCGUUGGUGAGGUAACGGCUCACCAAGGCCACGAUGCAUAGCGGACCGGAGAGGGGAGUAGGCCACACGGGGGCUGGGACACGGCCCAGAGUCCUGCGUACGGCAGCAGGAGUGAAGCUUCGGCAGUGGACGAAAGUCUGACCGGGCAACGCCGCGAGAGUGAAGAAGGUUUGCGGAUCGGAAAACUCUGUUGUUAGAGAAGCGGUAUCUAACCAGAAAGCCACGGCUAACUACGUGCCAGCAGCCGCGGUAAUAC